AAGAUGGCUUUGGCUAUCACUCUGGGAUGGACCUGCGGUGCAUUAGCUAGUUGGUAAGGUAAYGGCUUACCAAGGCGAUGAUGCAUAGCCGAGUUGAGAGACUGAUCGGCCACAAUGGAACUGAGACACGGUCCAUACUCCUACGGGAGGCAGCAGUAGGGAAUCUUCCACAAUGGGCGCAAGCCUGAUGGAGCAACACCGCGUGAGUGAAGAAGGGUUUCGGCUCGUAAAGCUCUGUUGUUGGAGAAGAACGUGCGUGAGAGUAACUGUUCACGCAGUGACGGUAUCCAACCAGAAAGUCACGGCUAACUACGUGCCAGCAGCCGCGGUAAUACGUAGGUGGCAAGCGUUAUCCGGAUUUAUUGGGCGUAAAGCGAGCGCAGGCGGUUGCUUAGGUCUGAUGUGAAAGYCUUCGGCUUAACCGAAGAAGUGCAUCGGAAACCGGGCGACUUGAGUGCAGAAGAGGACAGUGGAACUCCAUGUGUAGCGGUGGAAUGCGUAGAUAUAUGGAAGAACACCAGUGGCGAAGGCGGCUGUCUGGUCUGCAACUGACGCUGAGGCUCGAAAGCAUGGGUAGCGAACAGGAUUAGAUACCCUGGUAGUCCAUGCCGUAAACGAUGAGUGCUAGGUGUUGGAGGGUUUCCGCCCUUCAGUGCCGGAGCUAACGCAUUAAGCACUCCGCCUGGGGAGUACGACCGCAAGGUUGAAACUCAAAGGAAUUGACGGGGGCCCGCACAAGCGGUGGAGCAUGUGGUUUAAUUCGAAGCUACGCGAAGAACCUUACCAGGUCUUGACAUCUUGCGCUAACCUUAGAGAUAAGGCGUUCCCUUCGGGGACGCAAUGACAGGUGGUGCAUGGUCGUCGUCAGCUCGUGUCGUGAGAUGUUGGGUUAAGUCCCGCAACGAGCGCAACCCUUGUUACUAGUUGCCAGCAUUGAGUUGGGCACUCUAGUGAGACUGCCGGUGACAAACCGGAGGAAGGUGGGGACGACGUCAGAUCAUCAUGCCCCUUAUGACCUGGGCUACACACGUGCUACAAUGGACGGUACAACGAGUCGCAAACUCGCGAGAGUAAGCUAAUCUCUUAAAGCCGUUCUCAGUUCGGACUGUAGGCUGCAACUCGCCUACACGAAGUCGGAAUCGCUAGUAAUCGCGGAUCAGCAUGCCGCGGUGAAUACGUUCCCGGGCCUUGUACACACCGCCCGUCACACCAUGG
rnacentral:rRNA from 2 species